GGUAUAAAAGGAACCCAAGAUCAAGGAGCUAAGGCCCCCCUUCCACCCAGAGUUAGGCAUAAGUUACCCUGAUAGCUGCUAAAUAAGGAAGACGAGUCCACUUAUCCACAACUCUUUCCUUUGUUGAGUGGAUUAUGUUGGUCUGGAGCCAGAGUGGAAUUACCAAGGGCAGUAGAAAAGGAGCUGAGUGUUCCCACUUAGGGUUCCUCUUCCCCCAAAUACUCUCCUUUGCACCCCACCCCAUCACUCAGCCUUCUCUUUUAAAUUAACUAUGAACAAGUAUUUGAAGGAAUGCCAGAGUACCCAACCAUUCAUUUGCCUGGGAUUUCUAAGCAUCUGUCUGACCCUGAGUGAUGUCAAGGCCAUGCCAUCUUAUGCAGGCUAGCAGCAACAUGAAGUCAACAGAAUUACCUGUAUAUAGAAACAAAGAAAGUAUUAUGAGAUCCUAGAACAAAGUAUAACAUGAUGAUAUCUCUCACUAGAAGAUGAUAAGUAGAACUCAUGCUGUAAUUUGCCAGCAUGCCCCAGUACCACCUGUGCUGUGUUAGAAUGAGAAAGCUCUCUCCAACCCUGGAAACUGGGAAGGUCCAGUGUCAUCAUGAUUGACAGAACUGAGAAGUGAAUAACAGAAUACUCAUCCAUCAGCUUUGGAAUGUUCAUCCAGCAGCUUUACAGAGUUGAAUCACAUCAGACAGUGGGGUUGUCUGCUGGAAUGGACUUUCAACUGGGCACCAGGAGUUAAAGGCUUCAUCUUCAUGUACUGAGUCAAUGAAGAUGGGAAUCCAGCUGUUAGCCUUCCCUGCGUGAGUUCUUACCUCUUCCAAAUCACCUGCUUCUGCUUCAUUCAUGCUUUACAAAGACCCAGUACAUGAAGUUGGAACAUUUUUAGGGGAAUGGGCUUAAGAUACUUAUGCCCAGUUAGUUUAAAUACUUAACUAGUCAUAGGGUGAACAAGACCAUGUAUUAACUUUAGUAGUUAAACCCAAAAGAAGGUCAAAAAUGUACUGGGAGCCCAAGUUUGGAAGUCAUGUGCUGCUAAGAUCCCUGGACAGGUGGACAUUGAUUAGAUAGUUUCUCCAUCCUAAACACCACCAAGUCUAGUGGCCUCAGCCUUUGAGGACCAGAGACACCAGUCGCAGACUUUCCUUGGGGCCCUCACUCUCCCCAUUCUCCCGAUGGGAUUCCAGGAUGAACUCAACUGCAAAGUGGGUCAUUUGAGUCCACAAUGGAGAUGAUGGCUAUUAUGGUAGGGCGUUGGGACCCAACCCAAAAUAAAUGUGUGAUGAGAUCAUUGCUGAGAUGAGACUUGAUUUACACCGAGACGGUUUUCCGGGAGGUGUGGAUGUGAGGUUACUGCUUCACCCCAGGAAGUCAGAGCUUUACUGUUCAUUUAUCAAGAUUGCCCCCAGGGAAACCCUAAGACAAGAGCCCAAAGCUAGUUAGGUAUUUGGAAUUAGACACAUAUACAGCCUACACGUGAAUGUGCCACUUCUCUACAGAGCAGGAGCGCUGACGGAAGGAACUGAGUGCUAAUGUUUCUCUCUCCCCCACACAAACACAUGCACAUACGUAUGUGCCACUCACCAAAUCAAAGGGACUGUGAAUAUAAGAAACAAAUACUGAAACCUACAUCUGAAAUUAGUGAUGUACUAUAUGUUGGCUAAUUGAAUUUAAAUAAAAAACAAAAAAGAAACAAAUACUGGUUUAAAGAACUAGGGGGAGGGGAGGAGGACUGAGGCUAAAUGAGAUGGAUGAGCCUAAAGGAGAACGUGGUCAUUUUCUGGACUCACUACCAAAGGCGCAUCCUGCCAACUGUGACAUGACCUAGGAACUGCAGUGGAGUGGGUGCAAUCAUAUGGAUGGUGUUAUAAGGAGAAUUAUGUCCCCCGCCCAAAUUCAUGUGUUGAAGUCCUGACCUUCAAUAUCUCAGUAGGUGACCUCAUUUGGAGAUAAGGUGUUUACAGAAGUAAUCAAGUUAAAGUGAGGUCAUUGGGGUGGACCCGAAUCCAAUAAGACUGGGAUCCUUAUAAAAAGUGGAAAUUUUGACACAGAAGCACAUAUAGAGGGAAGACAGUGUGAAGAGACAUGGAAAGAAGAUGCCAUCUAUAAGCUAAGGAGAGAGGCUUGGAGCAGGUUCUGCCCUCAUAGCCCUCAAAGAAACCAAUCCUGCAGAUACCUUGAUCAUGGAAUUCUGGCCUCCAGAACUGUGAGCCAAACAAUUUCUGUUAUUUAAGCCACUCAAUCAGUGGUACUUUGGUUUUGGUAGCUCCAGCAUAGAUGGAAAUGGAAGUGUCUUCCGAGCGUGCAGAAGCCAAGGCUCCUAGGAAUUUAAAACAAGGACACUCUCUUUAUUCUGGUCUGAAGCACAAGCUACAAACACCGGAACUUUUAUUUGGUGAACAGACCUCCAUGACCAGUUUAAUCAGUGUUGGUGCAGGAGGUUUCAAGACCUCUUUUUCUAUUUCAAGGUAUUCCUCAAUCUGCACUUCUCUCAGUCAGGAACAUAAGUAAAUAAUGACAAGCAUACCACUGGACACUGGUUAUUCUUUCGCUGUGGACCUGUCAUAUGUUCAUUUCAUAUAGAUGUUCCCAUCCUCUCCUGAGAUAGAUGAGGAAACAGGGACCCAGAGAGCUGAAACACCUAACACAAAGCUACUUGGCUGGUUGAUAGAUCCUGGCCAGAUGUCUUAAUACCAAGUCCAAGGUUUAAUCAUAUUCACACACUGGUUUUCCUUCAUGGAAACAAUUU